rnacentral:rRNA from 1 species
UACGUAGGUGGCAAGCGUUGUCCGGAAUUAUUGGGCGUAAAGCGCGCGCAGGCGGCCUUUUAAGUCUGAUGUGAAAGCCCACGGCUUAACCGUGGAAGGUCAUUGGAAACUGGAAGGCUUGAGGACAGAAGAGAAAAGCGGAAUUCCACGUGUAGCGGUGAAAUGCGUAGAGAUGUGGAGGAACACCAGUGGCGAAGGCGGCUUUUUGGUCUGUAACUGACGCUGAGGCGCGAAAGCGUGGGGAGCAAACAGG